AUAAUAAUAGUAAUAUUGAAAUCAGUCUGCAAAAAGUGAGUAAAAUAAUUAUUAACUAUGAGUCAGACGUUCGAAGUAUUUAAAAUAUUUGCAAAGCUGAAUUGUAGAAAGAAAAAAAAAGUGAGCGGGGCAACUAAGAUAUCUUUACGGAUGAUACAAGAUGCCAGAAUAUACCAAUUCUAUUCUUAGAUAAGCAGCAAAAAGAAUGAAUUCACGCAUGCAAUGGGAAUUGGUGUAGGCGUGAACAGCGAUAACUGUGAAUCCUAGAUUAUAUAGAGAAGAGGAGCUAUUAAACGGAUUCUAC